GUGGUGAUUCAGUUGUAGAGUGCUUGCCUAGCAUGUAUGAGGCCCUCCCUGGGUUCGAUUCUCAGCACCACA
rnacentral:tRNA from 1 species